rnacentral:rRNA from 1 species
CUAAGUUUGAUGGCGGCCGGCGCACGGGUGAGUAACACGUAUCCAACCUGCCGAUGACUCGGGAUAGCCUUUCGAAAGAAAGAUUAAUACCCGAUGGCAUAGUUCUUCCGCAUGGUAGAACUAUUAAAGAAUUUCGGUCAUCGAUGGGGAUGCGUUCCAUUAGGUUGUUGGCGGGGUAACGGCCCACCAAGCCUUCGAUGGAUAGGGGUUCUGAGAGGAAGGUCCCCCACAUUGGAACUGAGACACGGUCCAAACUCCUACGGGAGGCAGCAUG